UUGAUUACUGCAGUAAGCAGUUUUUAUUUUCUCACCAAUUAAUUUUUUUAUUUUUCUUGUUUCCUUAGGGUAAGACAUGUGUCAGCCUAUUUGUCCAAUGCCGUGUUAUGACUUCUACACCCUGGCUGUAGUACCGGCUAGUGGUGUACAGCACACACUACCGGUGCUGCUAGAUACCAUUCCCAUACUGUUACGAGGUGGCAGUGUCAUUGCAACGCAGACCCCCAAUGUGACAACCACAGAAAGAUACGUAUGCAGAUUGACGGUACAACUUGCUGAACUUCACCUUGGCUGAGUUGCAGCUCACAGGAUCUGCUGUUUGGUGGGGAUAUAAUGAUAUGCCAGCUUUAGACAAGGUCACCAUUCUUGGAGUACAGAAGCCAGUGAAAUCUGUGUUUGUUAAUCAUGCUUCCAAACCCUUUUCAUACCACACCAUUAAUAAGUUCCUGAAGGUUGAAAACUUACAAAUUCAUCUCCACAGCACAUUCUCCAUCCACUCGAUAUGAAGACAAAUAGUCUAUUAAGCAGCAGUAUAAAAAUUACAGGCGUGGAUGACUAAGGUAGGACCACACAGUAUUUGAGAUAAGUGAUGCUGUAAUGUUCAAUAUAUUCUGAAAUAUUUUGUAAAAUGACUAAGUGUGUAGAUACAUCUAACUCAUCAGUUGAUGGGGGAAAAGGUUCCUUUUAGUCUUUUAUCUGCCAAAUCGUUACAUUAUUCUCAGUGCUCUACGUAUGUAAGUGCAUGUAUAUGUUGGUCCAACAUCCUUCUCUGUAUUCAUUUCUGUGAUUUUAAUUUGUUCGGCAUUGAUGUUUGUUACUGCAUUGUUUAACUUCAGAAUUUAAUGUACUUUAAAUUUUCACAUGAGAAUGUUUUUAUAUGGUGUUGAAGUUUUAAAAUAGGUUAUUUUAUAGUUUGUUUCUUAAAAUGUGCUUUUAUGAAGUGUGUUAGGACAAUCUCAUAAGGUUUAGACAUGUAAAUUGAGUAAUAGAGAAAGUAAAAGACACAUCUGAGUAUGGACAGCCCAGACAUAUUGUUAAUAGAAGUUAAAAGUGUCAACAAAGUCUGCAGGUUUGCUUUCGACAGUCAAUAAAUGUCAGCCUUCUUGCUGGUAAAGCAUUCCUCUGAAUUGUCAGUGAACUCCUAUUAGUCAGAAUUACUGGGUUUUUGUACUUUUCCAUCAUCGUGUAGUAUAGAGACCAGAAAACUACAUUUUGGAAACUGGAUCUAUUUCCAUCCUCAGGUGAGGG